UUCGCAGCGCUCUAUAUGGCGGCGGAUUUGAGGUUUCUGAAGCUUCAAGACGCGUACACAACCGCUAGAUGGCGCCCUGUGACUUCUGGGGAAAGUGCGGCUUUUCGCCUGAGCGCCAUGUGAGGACGGACGCGGCCCGUAUGCUCUCACUCUGCAUGUUUGGAGACUCCUGAAGACUGCUGAUGUCUGCGCCAGCUUGUAUCAGCGAAUCACAUGAUAUGGACCGAUAACUGUCACCAAGCCCUAUAGUUGAACACCGGCCCUCCCAUCCCCUUACGACAUCUCCAAUAACGACAAGGCAGCCACCACAACCACCACCACCACCACCACCACCACCACAAGAAUGACUCAGACUUGGAGGGAAAAGGACAACAGUAAUAGAACAACACUGAAGCAAGAUUUUGAGUUCAAGAGGGGAUGGAUGGAUGCUAAUGGAUAGAUCUGCCACAAGUAUCCAAAUAUUAGUAGAUCACUUAGGAGAAAGUUCAGAAGAAUCUUGAUGCAAGUUCUAGGAUUUUGGCCAAUCAGAAUACCACACAAGCAUGGGACUGAGCACACACACGUCUCCAAUCAGCCUAGAUCAUCUCAGCAGGCAGCUCAUCACAGACAGUCUCGGGUGUCCUCGAGGUGGUGAUGCAAUAACUGAUGUCAUCUUCAGAUCCUAGAUUGCUGGUGGAAGAUUCUUAAAUAAAUAAUUGUUAACCAUUAUAAACUGAUUUAGGAUGAAAGAUAUGAACACCGAUACCGUAAUUCCUGCACCACCAUCCUAAGAGCACCUGUGACUGUGCUGGGUUGUGUGGUGAUCUCUCUCCUUCCCUCUCUCUCUCUCUGAUCAUUACCAAUAGGCGCAACUCUGUCAUUCACUGUGACACUAUUCCCUGUCCUGUGGCAGACCACGAACUCAUUACUGUUACACUAAACUUAGAAAAACCUAAACGGUUGCCAUGUGUCAAAACUUUCCUUGAUUCGAGUCUCUGCUCACCAGACACACUUCAUAAUCUAUUAUGGAGUGAAGGACAUAGGCUUAAUAACAUUUUUAUGACCGAUGACGUCGAUACACAGGUCAAUAUUUUUUCGGACGUUUUAAAUAAAUGUUUUAAUAAAUGUGCCCCACUGGUAACAAGAGAAGUCAAAAGACCUUUUGCCCCUUGGAUCGAUGAAAACUUGAAAACCUUAAGCCUUAAUGAGAGAAAGAAAUACAGUUCAGAAACAUCUCAAGAAAGACAAACAUAACGAACACUUAUAUGAAACAUACAAAUCCCUUAAGAAACAAGUUAAGACUCUAUUGAAUAAAUCCAAGUCACAAUAUCAUAAUAAAAA